rnacentral:rRNA from 1 species
AUUGAACGCUGGCGGCAUGCCUUACACAUGCAAGUCGAACGGCAGCAUAGGAGCUUGCUCCUGAUGGCGAGUGGCGAACGGGUGAGUAAUAUAUCGGGACGUGACCUAGAGUGGGGGAUAACUAGUCGAAAGACUAGCUAAUACAGCAUACGACCUAAGGAUGAAGGGGGGGGAUCGCAAAACCUCAUGCUCUUGGAGCGGCCGAUAUCUGAUUAGCUAGUUGGUGGGGUAAAAGCUCAACAAGGCGACGAUCAGUAGGUGGUCUGAGAGGACGACCAGCCACACUGGGACUGAGACACGGCCCAGACUCCUACGGGAGGCAGCAGUGGGGAAUUUUGGACAAUGGGGGCAACCCUGAUCCAGCAAUGCCGCGUGAGUGAAGAAGGCCUUCGGGUUGUAAAGCUCUUUUGUCAGGGAAGAAACGGUUCUGGAUAAUACCUGGGACUAAUGACGGUACCUGAAGAAUAAGCACCGGCUAACUACGUGCCAGCCGCCGCGGUAA